rnacentral:lncRNA from 1 species
AAGGAAAGAAAAAAGUUGAUACUGCAUCUUCUCAACCACAUAAGAAACAGAAACAACUGAAGUCAGUACCUUCAUCUUCAAACAUUCCUAGCAAUUCAUCCUUGAGGAAUACAACAAGCACUCCCAUUUUUGUUUCAAAAGCAUUGAAGAGAACGUUGUCUCCUAUUGCAAAAUAUCAGACAAAGAAAGUUGUGACUCAAAAGACUGUUCCUCAAAGGGCACUUCCUAAGCAGUCGUCUAUCCUAGAGAAAAUAAAAUCUAUUGUCAAGCCUUCAGCUAAACCCAAACCAUCCAAUGUUCCUACUGAUGUACCUUCCAACGGCAAGUCGGAUGAAGAAUUCAUUUUGGUUAAACAAUUUGUCAUUUUUCAGAAAUCG